UUUUUAUGAGAGUUUGAUCCUGGCUCAGGAUGAACGCUGGCGGCGUGCCUAACACAUGCAAGUCGAACGGAGAUUACGGACGGAAGUUUUCGGAUGGAAGACUGUAAUUCUUAGUGGCGGACGGGUGAGUAACGCGUGGGCAACCUGCCCUAUACAGGGGGAUAGCAGCUGGAAACGGCUGGUAAGACCGCAUAAGUCGGCGAGACCGCAUGGUUUUGUCGGGAAAUGAGCAAUCAGGUAUAGGAUGGGCCCGCGUCCGAUUAGCCAGUUGGCAGGGUAAAAGCCUACCAAAGCAACGAUCGGUAGCCGGACUGAGAGGUCGGACGGCC
rnacentral:rRNA from 1 species